CAGCCGCCGCGGGAAUACGUAGGGUGCGAGCGUUAAUCGGAAUUACUGGGCGUAAAGCGUGCGCAGGCGGUUAUAUAAGACAGAUGUGAAAUCCCCAGGCUCAACCUGGGAACUGCAUUUGUGACUGGCAAGCUAGAGUCUGGCAGAGGGGGGUGGAAUUCCGCGUGUAGCAGUGAAAUGCGUAGAUAUGCGGAGGAACACCGAUGGCGAAGGCAGCCCCCUGGGCCAACACUGACGCUCAUGCACGAAAGCGUGGGGAGCAAACAGGAUUAGAUACCCCUGUAGUCCCUGUCUCUUAUAC
rnacentral:rRNA from 1 species